ACCUGCCCUAUGGUCAAGGAUAACCUCGCGAAAGUGAGGGUAAGACUUGAUAGGGAAUUUUUCCUGGAACGGAAUUUUCCCGCAAACUCGUGCCAUAGGAUGGGCCGGCGGCAGAUUAGGCUGUUGGCGGUGUAAUGGACCACCAAACCGAAGAUCUGUACGGGCCAUGAGAGUGGUAGCCCGGAGAGGGACACUGAGAUACUGGUCCCAGCCCUACGGGGUGCAGCAGGUGCGAAACCUUUUCAAUGCGCGAAAGCGUGAGAAGGGGAUUCCAAGUGCUCAAGUUUUACUUGGGCUUUUGUCAAGUGUAAAUAGCUUGGCGAAUAAGGGGUGGGCAAGACUGGUGCCAGCCGCCGCGGUAACACCAGCGCCUCGAGUGGGGAUCGCGAUUAUUGGGCCUAAAGCGUUCGUAGCAGGUUCUGUAAAUCUUUUGUGAAAUUGGCAGGCUUAACCUGCCAGCGUGCAGAGGACACUGCAGGACUCGAGACCGGGAGAGGUCAGAAGUAUUCCUUGGGUACCGGUAAGAUGGGUUAAUCCAAGGAGGACUACCAAUGGCGAAGGCAUCUGACCAGAACGGUUCUGACUGUGAGGAACGAAAGCUAGGGGAGCAAAACGGAUUAGAUACAGGAAAUUUCCUUAACAAGAAAAUUUUCGUACAAGCAAGUAAAUUUGAUCGAUAACAAACUGCUUUACUUGUAAAAAAGUGCGAAAAAUAAUAUGGAAAUUUACUUGCUAAGUACCCGAGUAGUCCUAGCCGUAAACGCUGCGAGCAAGGUAUUGCGCCUCCCACGAGGAUGCGCAGUGUCGAAACGAAGGUGUUAAGCU
rnacentral:rRNA from 1 species